rnacentral:rRNA from 1 species
GAGGCGAACCGGGGGAACUGAAACAUCUAAGUACCCCGAGGAAAAGAAAUCAACCGAGAUUCCGAAAGUAGCGGCGAGCGAAAUUGGACUAGCCCUUAAGCUUUACACGCGUUAGACGAACGGUCUGGAAAGUCCGACGAUACAGGGUGAUAGUCCCGUAGUUGACGACGUGUGUUCAGUGAAAUCGAGUAGGGCGGGACACGUGAUAUCCUGUCUGAAUAUGGGGGGACCAUCCUCCAAGGCUAAAUACUACUGACUGACCGAUAGUGAACCAGUACCGUGAGGGAAAGGCGAAAAGAACCCCUGUGAGGGGAGUGA